rnacentral:piRNA from 1 species
UUGUGAUAGAAUUUUAACUGGUACCAU